GCCUUCUUCCUCCGCCCAGCCGCCACAGUAAUUUGUCGUCAAGUCUGCCACAGGAGGAUAUUUUGUUCUGGGUUAACCUGCUUUUCUACCUCGCAGGUUGUUUAUCAAUAUUGUGUAAUUUUAAUUACUCCUAGAAUUUCCGCAUGUGUUAGCAGUAUUUAUUUGAAUUUGGUCUGUAAUAUUUUUAUCAUGUUGGACCUGUAAACUUAAAUAUGUUAUGCAUGUUGAUGGAUUGGAUGAGGGAGCUGAGCUCCCAUUUAUUUUAUGUUGAUGAGUAUGUGGAGGGUGAGCUGAGCUCCCCAAUUGAGUA